GAUGAUGUUGUGGAGAGGGCCACCGAGAGGGGGUUUGCAUUGCCAAAGUCGAAGGUGGCCAUUGCCUUGACCUGCCUGGACCUCUUGACCUUUAACAACGCUCAAACAGGAAACACAUGUUGGAGGAGGAGACCACAAGCUAAUUGUAAGCAUCAACUAUUUGUUAGCUAUCAAUCUUGUCCUUUGAGCAUAUAUACUUUAUUUCUUAAACCAUUAUGCAUGAGCAUUUUAGGAUGAUUUGGAUGAGUGGAUCAGAGGACGACAUGAGCAGGUAUUUCCAUUUGAUCAUAUACCCAAAAUGAUAAUGUAUACACUAACUUAAGAUGAUGGCUCUUCUACUCUGCUAAUAUAACAUGCAUGUGCUUGUGUGGAGUGCCUCCAAAAUGAAUAGC
rnacentral:lncRNA from 1 species